rnacentral:rRNA from 1 species
GAUGAACGCUGGCGGCGUGCCUAAUACAUGCAAGUCGAGCGAAUGGAUUAAGAGCUUGCUCUUAUGAAGUCAGCGGCGGACGGGUGAGUAACACGUGGGUAACCUGCCCAUAAGACUGGGAUAACUCCGGGAAACCGGGGCUAAUACCGGAUAACAUUUUGAACCGCAUGGUUCGAAAUUGAAAGGCGGCUUCGGCUGUCACUUAUGGAUGGACCCGCGUCGCAUUAGCUAGUUGGUGAGGUAACGGCUCACCAAGGCAACGAUGCGUAGCCGACCUGAGAGGGUGAGCGGCCACACUGGGACGGAGACACGGCCCAGACUCCUACGGGAGGCAGCAGUAGGGAAUCUUCCGCAAUGGACGAAAGUCUGACGGAGCAACGCCGCGUGAGUGAUGAAGGCUUUCGGGUCGUAAAACUCUGUUGUUAGGGAAGAACAAGUGCUAGUUGAAUAAGCUGGCACCUUGACGGUACCUAACCAGAAAGCCACGGCUAACUACGUGCCAGCAGCCGCGGUAA